rnacentral:rRNA from 1 species
CAAUAGUGUAUAUUAAAGUUGUUGCAGUUAAAAAGCUCGUAGUUGGAUUUCUGGUAGGAGCGACCGUGCCGAACUUGAUUGUUCGAGUAUUGUGUUGUCUUCAGCCAUCCUCGUGGAGAACUUUUCUAACAUUAACUUGUUGGGAUUGGGACCCGCGUCGUUUACUGUGAAAAAAUUAGAGUGUUUAAAGCAGGCAUUAGCUUGAAUACAUUAGCAUGGAAUAAUAAGAUAGGACUUUGGUACUAUUUUGUUGGUUUGCAUACCAAAUUAAUGAUCAACAGGAACAGUUUGAGGAUAUUCGUAUGAACAUGUCAGAGGUGAAAUUCUUGGAUUUUGAUCAGACGAACUACUGCGAAAGCAUUUAUCAAGGAUGUUUUCAUUAA